CCUACGGGAGGCAGCAGUGAGGAAUAUUGGUCAAUGGGCGCGAGCCUGAACCAGCCAAGUAGCGUGAAGGAUGACUGCCCUAUGGGUUGUAAACUUCUUUUAUAAAGGAAUAAAGGUAUGCACGUGUGCCUGUUUGUAUGUACUUUAUGAAUAAGGAUCGGCUAACUCCGUGCCAGCAGCCGCGGUAAUACGGAGGAUCCGAGCGUUAUCCGGAUUUAUUGGGUUUAAAGGGAGCGUAGAUGGGUUGUUAAGUCAGUUGUGAAAGUUUGCGGCUCAACCGUAAAAUUGCAAUUGAAACUGGCAGCCUUGAGUGUAGUUGAGGUAGGCGGAAUUCGUGGUGUAGCGGUGAAAUGCUUAGAUAUCACGAAGAACUCCGAUUGCGAAGGCAGCUUACUAAACUACAACUGACACUGAUGCUCGAAAGCGUGGGUAUCAAACAGGAUUAGAUACCCUUGUAGUC
rnacentral:rRNA from 1 species